CUGACAUGCGUGCGAGUCGACGGGUUCUGAAACCUGGGAUGCGCAAGGAAGCUGACGAGCGGGAGGCCCUCACGGGCCGCACCGCUGGCCGACCCUGAUCUUCUGUGAAGGGUUCGAGUUGGAGCACGCCUGUCGGGACCCGAAAGAUGGUGAACUAUGCCUGAGCGGGGCGAAGCCAGAGGAAACUCUGGUGGAGGCUCGAAGCGAUACUGACGUGCAAAUCGUUCGUCUGACUUGGGUAUAGGGGCGAAAGACUAAUCGAACCAUCNNNNNNNNNN
rnacentral:rRNA from 1 species